UUUCUAUAGCACAAAUGUCUAAUUAAGUAUCUUUGCUAUACAAAUAAGUAUACCUGCACCUUGACCUGAUGUUAAUCGCAUUAGAGACAGGAUGACCAAUUAGUAGCCAUACUCGCCUGUACUCUAUUGUAAGGUAGAAAUUUAAUUAAAAAUGAAAGUACACGAGAAAUCCAAACUUUGUAGCUAAUUCUAAUUUCUCUUUCAUUUUUCUUCAGAAUAGCG
rnacentral:lncRNA from 1 species